rnacentral:rRNA from 1 species
CCCUUAGAUGUUCUGGGCCGCACACGCGCUACACUGAUGCAUUCAACGAGUCUAAAACCUGCUCUGAUAGGGGUGGGUAAUCUUUUGAAUGUGCAUCGUGAUUGGGAUAGAUGAUUGCAAUUUUUCAUCUUCAACGAGGAAUGCCUGGUAAACGCAAGUCAUCAGCUUGCAUUGAUUACGUCCCUGCCCUUUGUACACACCGCCCGUCGCUCCUACCGAUUGAAUGAUCCGAUGAAUAUCAUGGAUUGAGGAUGCAAGCAGGUUCGCCUGUCUUCAUCUUCGAGAAGUGAAGUAAAUCUUAUCAUUUAGAGGAAGGAGAAGUCGUAACA